GACGAACGCUGGCGGCGCGCUUAACACAUGCAAGUCGAGCGAAGCGGCGGACGGGUGAGUAACACGUGAGUAACCUGCCUUAGACAUUGGGAUAGCCUCGGGAAACCGGGAUUAAUACCAAAUGGUCUAAGAUGGACUCGCGUCCCAUUAGCUAGUUGGUGGGUAACGGCCCACCAAGGCGACGAGGGGUAGCCGGCCUGAGAGAAGGAGCGGUGACAUUGGAACGGGGAAACGGUGGAAAAUAUACGGGAGGGAGGAGUGGGGAAUAGUGCACAAUGGAGGGAACUAUGAUGCAGCGACGCGGCGAGAACGAAGAAGGCGUUCAAGUCGGAAAGUACUUUAAUAUGGGAAGCGGUACCAUAAGAAAAAGCCCCGGCUAACUACGUGCCAGCAGCCGCGGUAAUUC
rnacentral:rRNA from 1 species